AUUGAACGCUGGCGGCAGGCCUAACACAUGCAAGUCGAACGAGUGGCGGACUGGUGAGUAAUGUCUGGGAAACUGCCUGAUGGAGGGGGAUAACUACUGGAAACGGUAGCUAAUACCGCAUACCAUCAGAUGUGCCCAGAUGGGAGUAGCUAGUUGGUGGGGUAACGGCUCUCCAAGGCGACGAUCCCUAGCUGGUCUGAGCGGCUGACCAGCCACACGGGAACUGAGACACGGCCCAGACUCCUACGGGAGGCAGCAGUGGGGAAUAUUGCGCAAUGGGCGCAAGCCUGAUGCAGCAAUGCCGCGUGUAUGAAGAAGGCUUUCGGGUUGUAAAGUACUUUCAGCGGGGAAGCGUUACCCGCAGAAGAAGCAACGGCUAACUCCGUGCCAGCCGCCGCGGUAAUUC
rnacentral:rRNA from 1 species